rnacentral:rRNA from 1 species
GACGAACGCUGGCGGCGUGCUUAACACAUGCAAGUCGAGCGGUAAGGCCCUUUCGGGGGUACGACGAGCGGCGAACGGGUGAGUAACACGUGGGUGACCUGCCCUUAGCUCUGGGAUAAGCCUGGGAAACUGGGUCUAAUACCGGAUAUGACUCCAUAACGCAUGUUGUGGGGUGGAAAGCCUUGUGCGGCUAGGGAUGGGCCCGCGGCCUAUCAGCUUGUUGGUGGGGUGAUGGCCACCAAGGCGACGACGGGUAGCCGGCCUGAGAGGGCGACCGGCCACACUGGGACUGAGACACGGCCCAGACUCCUACGGGAGGCAGCAGUGGGGAAUCUUGCGCAAUGGGCGAAAGCCUGACGCAGCGACGCCGCGUGGGGA